AUUGAACGCUGGCGGCAUGCCUAACACAUGCAAGUCGAACGAGUGGCGGACGGGUGAGUAAUGUCUGGGAACCUGCCUGAUGGAGGGGGAUAACUACUGGAAACGGUAGCUAAUACCGCAUACCAUCGGAUGUGCCCAGAUGGGAUUAGCUAGUAGGUGGGGUAAAGGCUCACCUAGGCGACGAUCCCUAGCUGGUCUGAGAGGAUGACCAGCCACACUGGAACUGAGACACGGUCCAGACUCCUACGGGAGGCAGCAGUGGGGAAUAUUGCACAAUGGGCGAAAGCCUGAUGCAGCCAUGCCGCGUGUAUGAAGAAGGCCUUCGGGUUGUAAAGUACUUUCGGCAGGGAGGCGUUACCCGCAGAAGAAGCACCGGCUAACUCCGUGCCAGCAGCCGCGGUAAUAC
rnacentral:rRNA from 1 species